UUCAAGGAUGAUAAAACCCAACCAGCCGGCUAUUAAGAACAGAUUCACCAAGCGGUGGGUUGUGUGGCCACCCUGUGUUACUGGAUGCACCUAGUUGUUUUCCAUGGCAUAUCUCUCACCGGCUUUGGAGUCUCAACAUAGCUCGUUCUGACUAUGUUGAAGGCCCAAGACCAUCUCGAGAGAACUGGGGUCACUUUAUGUGAUGAGUGUCGGCAUUUUUUAGUCAUAGUUACACUGAGU
rnacentral:snoRNA from 1 species